AUCGCUGGCAAGCCAGCUCCCACAGGAUUUGUGUGUUUUCAAAAUUGACACAUGACCUGUGGGAGCUGGCUUGCCAGCGAA
rnacentral:antisense_RNA from 1 species